rnacentral:lncRNA from 1 species
UGCAGGUGCCCACGAAUCGAAUAUGGUGCCACCACCCGUGGGCAAGUGUGGGCGGACUUGAUGGGGGACGGGUGGCUAGCGAUUUUCACAGCGCUGAAUCAGGGCUCUGCGUCUGUGGCCGGGGAGUUCCGUGGCCCAGCUGCAGGCGAGAUGGGGAAACUGAAGCCCUAGAGGAAAAGAAGACUAAAUGUAUUACCAUCUGACCCACUUCCUGGCCAGCCUGUUCACCUGUCUGCUGUUCUUCAUUGAUGUGCAAUCUAAGACUCAGAGAAGCUGGAGAAUUUUCCUAACGUCACACAGCAAAGGAAUGGAAGACUCAGGACAAGAAUACACGAUCCUCUCCUUCCAACAUGUCACCCAGCAGAACAAGAGAAGGAAUCACAAUUGGUCCAUGACAGUCACGGUCAUCUCAUUCCUCUUGCCAGUGGCAGGUGUAUGUGUGAGUUUGCAGCUCAAUCCUGGCCAAGGGGAUCCAAGGACUGCUGAAGAGGCAUGUCUGCACAUGUCACCUAGAACAUCUCCAGCCAUCAUGUGAUCUCUGGGGGAGGCAUUCCCAACUCUCUGAGAGAAGCAGACCAGAAAGAUGGAAAGAAAGCACCUGGCUCCAGGAUGAUGACAUUGAGCCGAUGAAUUAACCACCUUUGUGCUGCUCUAACCUUCAGAGUUCACCUUAACAUGAGAAAAUAAAACCCUUAUUGCUUA